CAGCCGCCACGGGAAUACAGAGGGUGCGAGCGUUAAUCGGAUUUACUGGGUGUAAAGCGUGCGUAGGCGGCUUCUUAAGUCGGAUGUGAAAUCCCUGAGCUUAACUUAGGAAUUGCAUUCGAUACUGGGAAGCUAGAGUAUGGGAGAGGAUGGUAGAAUUCCAGGUGUAGCGGUGAAAUGCGUAGAGAUCUGGAGGAAUACCGAUGGCGAAGGCAGCCAUCUGGCCUAAUACUGACGCUGAGGUACGAAAGCAUGGGGAGCAAACAGGAUUAGAUACCCCAGUAGUCCCUGUCUCUUAUAA
rnacentral:rRNA from 1 species